rnacentral:tRNA from 5 species
CAAGAUAUAACUUAUUAGUAAAGUGUUUCAUUUACACUGAAAAUUUUUCUGUGCAAAUCAGGAUAUCUUGA